GAUGAACGCUGGCGGCGUGCCUAAUACAUGCAAGUCGAGCGAACAGACGAGGAGCUUGCCCCUCUGACGUUAGCGGCGGACGGGUGAGUAACACGUGGAUAACCUACCUAUAAGACUGGGAUAACUUCGGGAAACCGGAGCUAAUACCGGAUAAUAUAUUGAACCGCAUGGUUCAAUAGCGAAAGACGGUUUUGCUGUCACUUAUAGAUGGAUCCGCGCCGCAUUAGCUAGUUGGUAAGGUAACGGCUUACCAAGGCAACGAUGCGUAGCCGACCUGAGAGCGGGAUCGGCCACACUGAAGGUGAGACCCGGUCCAGACACCUACGGGAGGCAGCAGUAGGGAAGCUUCCGAGAAGGGCGAAAGCUUGAAGGAGCAACGCAGGGUGGGUGAUGAAGGUCUUCGGGUCGUAAAACUCUGUUAUGGGGGAAGAACAAAUGUGUAAGUAACGAUGCGCGUCUGGCGGGUACCGAAUAAGAAGGCCACGCCUAACUACGG
rnacentral:rRNA from 1 species